rnacentral:rRNA from 1 species
GAACGAACGCUGGCGGCAGGCUUAACACAUGCAAGUCGAACGAGAACGGAUUAUAGCUUGCUAUAAUUGUCAGCUAAGUGGCGCACGGGUGAGUAAUGUAUAGGUAAUAUGCCUCUUACUAAGGGAUAACAAAUGGAAACGUUUGCUAAUACCUUAUACUCCUUAUUAACAGAAGUUAAUAAGGGAAAGAUUUAUUGGUAAGAGAUUAGCCUGUAUUGUAUCAGUUAGUUGGUGGGGUAAUGGCUUACCAAGACUAUGACACAUAACUGGUUUGAGAGGAUGAUCAGUCACACUGGAACUGAGACACGGUCCAGACUCCUACGGGAGGCAGCAGUGGGGAAUAUUGCACAAUGGACGAAAGUCUGAUGCAGCAACGCCCGCGUGGAGGAUGACACAUUUCGGUGCGUAAACUCCUUUUAUAUGAGAAGAUAAUGACGGUAUUAUAUGAAUAAGCACCGGCUAACUCCGUG